GACGAACGCUGGCGGCGUGCCUAAUACAUGCAAGUUGAGCGCUUAAGGUUGGUACUUGUCCCAACUGGCUGAGCAGCGCACGGGUGAGUAACGCGUGGGGAAUCUGCCUUUGAGCGGGGGACAACAUUUGGAACCGAAUGCUAAUACCGCAUAAAAACUUUAAACACAAGUUUUAAGUUUGAAAGAUGCAUUUGCAUCACUCAAAGCUGAUCCCGCGUUGUAUUAGGUAGUUGGUUAGGUAAAGGCUCACCAAGGCGAUGAUACAUAGCCUACUUUAGCGGGUGAUCGACCACCAUGGGACGGAAGAACGGCUCAAACUCCCACAGGAAGCAGCAGGAGGGAAUCUUCGGAAAUGGACGAAAGGCAGACCGAACAACGCCGCGUGGGUGGGGAAAGGUCUCGGAUCGGAAAACUCUGUUGAUAGGGAAGAACGUUGGGGAGGGUGGAAAGCUCAUCAAGUGACGGUAACUACCGAGAAAGGUACGGCUAACUACGUG
rnacentral:rRNA from 1 species